rnacentral:lncRNA from 1 species
UGAUUGGGUCGAGAGUGUUUGAGUUGUAUCUGACCCCGUUCUGUUUCUUUCAGAUUGCUGCCGAGGUUGACCGUCGACCAGGGAUCAAGUCGCACCGCUAGAGAUGCCUGACCAGGCAAAGCCGAGUGCACGACCGGAGGCAAGUGCACCCCCUGAUUUGAGAGAGCAAUUAGCUACCCUGACAGAGGUGAUUAAGCAGCAGAGUGU